UUUUGCUGUAAUCUCACACCAAGAUUUUGUUGAAGCAUACCAUCAACAGUCCAAUUAACUCCACACCUAGAGCAAUGAACCAGGUCGAAUGCUUGGCUUGGGUAAGGCAACCGGCGCCUUCCAAAUGCAGCUAUCAUGGCAGUAGGUAGGCCGCAAAACUCGCAAGUCCAGAGCAGAUAUCCAAAGCAACUCGUGUAUGAUGGCCAAAUGCAAUCUCGGGAACCAUCUAUAUCACAUGCUUCAGAGAUCAAUCUAAAGCAAACAGAACUUAAACCUAAAGGGGAAUGAAGACAGAAGCAAACCUUGGAUAUCUGAUCCAAGUAUUUAUUCGUGCCACUGAUAAAUUGAGGCCCAUCUCCUGGAAUUGCAUGCUUAUCAUCUUUUCUUAGCACUGCAUCUUUGUUCGCCCUAUCCACAAGCGUAUGAGUGCUGUUGGCAACCACCACUAUGCUCUCUAUCAGCCCUUCAUCGAAUUCCCCAACUACGAAAUCCUCCGUCAUCAUUCCCAGCUCAUUUAUGAUCCCUGUUCUCUCCAGCACCGGCCUCCCCGCCGCC